rnacentral:rRNA from 1 species
CAAUGGGGGCAACCCUGAUCCAGCCAUCCCGCAUGUGCGAUGAAGGCCUUCGGGGUGUAAAGAACUUUUGGCAGGGAAGAAACAGCCUGGGCUAAUAUCCCGGGCGACUGACGGUACCUGCAGAAUAAGCACCGGCUAACUACGUGCCAGCAGCCGCGGUAAUACGUAGGGUGCAAGCGUUAAUCGGAAUUACUUGGCGUAAAGCGUGCGCAGGCGGUUCGGAAAGAAAG